AGAGAGGAGCCACCAGGGAGACACCAAGUUCCCACCAAGGGAGUAACAUGCCAGAGCAUUACGGGUGGCCCUUGGACAUCCCUCGCAACCUUCAAGACUUUAGAGAAUGUAAAGAUCCUAAUGGCUCACCUCCACCCAGCUCCUGCCACCCUGUGGCACCUGAAACAAGACUGGGCACCAUGGUUACACCUUUAGGCGCCCACCAGUAAAAAAAAUGCAAAUGAAAGAAUCACCUUGAAGACAACUCAAGGGAGGGAAGGCUAGCAUGGGCUGAAGAUGUGCUGCCUGCUAGCUUACUGCCUGCUCUAGAAAUUGCCCUCUGUUGUGAAUGAGCAAUAGCUCAUAGCUAAUAUACCAUUGGAACCCUAGGCAGAUCAGUACCUGCUGACCUUCUGAGGCCCUCUGAUGACUCUCUGCUGCACUCCAGAGGUCUCUCUUGCUCAAUGCUAUUUCUUUAAGAAACUGUGGUAUGGAGUAAUGAGGGACAGUGGGUUGUUUAGAUGGCAUUAAACUCAUGGAAGAAAUAGCUAUUAAUUUUAGAAAGAUUGCAAUGGCCUCUCAAAGAUACAAAGGAAGAAAUGAGACAUUUUCAAAAAUGGCUUUGGUUUUGCAAGAUGGAAAAUAAAUAAUCUUUGGUCUCAGA